rnacentral:rRNA from 1 species
AACGAACGCUGGCGGCAGGCUUAACACAUGCAAGUCGAGCGCCCCGCAAGGGGAGCGGCAGACGGGUGAGUAACGCGUGGGAACGUACCCUUUGCUACGGAAUAGCUCCGGGAAACUGGAAUUAAUACCGUAUGUGCCCUACGGGGGAAAGAUUUAUCGACAAAGAAUCGGCCCGCGUUGGAUUAGCUAGUGGGUGGGGUAAGGGCUUACCAAGGCGACGAUCCAUAGCUGGUCUGAGAGGAUGAUCAGCCACAUGGGGACUGAGACACGUCCCAAACUCCUACGGGAGGCAGCAGUGGGGAAUAUUGGACAAUGGGCGCAAGCCUGAGCCAGCCAUGCCGCGUGAGUGAUGAAGGCCUUAGGGUUGUAAAGCUCUUUCACCGGAGAAGAUAAUGACGGUAUCCGGAGAAGAAGCCCCGGCUAACUUCGUGCCAGCAGCCGCGGUAACAC